rfam:Serratia marcescens FGI94, complete genome.
AUAACGCACGAGUCGUGUAGGUGAGAAGCUGCGUUCAGGUUCGAGCCGAGCGAAGCGAGACGACAACGCGUAGCGUUGCCCGUAGGGCGAGGCCGGAGGCCGAGUCAAUCCUGCACGACCCACCA